rnacentral:lncRNA from 1 species
UUUAUUUUAAUAUCCCUUGAUUCUUUUAUUUUUUCUUUUUACUUUCACUUCCGAAUUUUUAUAUAAAAAAAUUAUGAUAAAAUUUUAUAAUUUCUUUUACUCCCACCUUAUAUUUUUUAUUAAAAAAAAUAUAUGAAUCAAAAUUUUUAAUUAUAUGUUUUAAAACUUUCAGUGGGUUGAUAAUUAUAAUAAAAAUUUUGAUCCAUAUAUUU